UUCAAAGGGUUUUAUAUCAGAAAUAUGGGCUUAUUUCAACCAAACUGCCCAAAACUAACUUCGAUGCAUGCAUGUACGUUGUAUGGAACCCACACAACAGCCUUCACAGAUAAAUGAAAUGAUUACCUUCAUUGCAUUUGUGGUGUUUUAUUCAAUUUUAUAGGAUUUGAAA